UUUUGGUUAGGUGCCUUACGAGUUCCCUGGAACGGGACGCMUUAGAGGGUGAGAGCCCCGUACGUUUGGUUACCGAGCCUCUGUAAAGCUCCUUYGACGAGUCGAGUAGUUUGGGAAUGCUGCUCUAAAUGGGAGGUAAAUUUCUUCUAAAGCUAAAUACCGGCCAGAGACCGAUAGCGCACAAGUAGAGUGAUCGAAAGAUGAAAAGCACUUUGAAAAGAGGGUUAAAUAGCACGUGAAAUUGUUGAAAGGGAAGCGUUUAUGACCAGACUUUUUCCUAGCGGAUCAUCCGGCGUUCUCGCCGGUGCACUUCGCUAGGUUUAGGCCAGCAUCGGUUUUCGCAGGGGGAUAAAAGCAGUGGUAAUGUGGCUCCCUCCGGGGAGUGUUAUAGACCGCUGUACUAAUACCCUUGCGGGGACCGA
rnacentral:rRNA from 1 species